rnacentral:rRNA from 1 species
UGGGGAAUAUUGGACAAUGGGCGAAAGCCUGAUCCAGCCAUGCCGCGUGAGUGAUGAAGGCCCUAGGGUUGUAAAGCUCUUUUGUGCGGGAAGAUAAUGACGGUACCGCAAGAAUAAGCCCCGGCUAACUUCGUGCCAGCAGCCGCGAUAAUACGAAGGGGGCUAGCGUUGCUCGGAAUCACUGGGCGUAAAGGGUGCGUAGGCGGGUUUCUAAGUCAGAGGUGAAAGCCUGGAGCUCAACUCCAGAACUGCCUUUGAUACUGGAAGUCUUGAGUUCGGGAGAGGUGAGUGGAACUGCGAGUGUAGAGGUGAAAUUCGUAGAUAUUCGCAAGAACACCAGUGGCGGAGGCGGCUCACUGGCCCGAUACUGACGCUGAGGCACGAAAGCGUGGGGAGCAAACA